GACGGGGGAUGCAAGCGUUAUCCGGAAUCACUGGGCGUAAAGCGUCUGUAGGUGGUGAUGCAAGUCACUGGUGCAAAACUCUGGCUCAACCGGAGGAAAGCCAGUGAAACUGCAUGACUAGAGUGUGGGAGAGGUAGAAGGAAUUCCCUGAGUAGCGGUGAAAUGCGUAGAUACAGGGAAGAACACCGGAGGCGAAAGCGUUCUACUGGAACACAACUGACACUGAGGCGCGAAAGCGUGGGGAGCAAACAGG
rnacentral:rRNA from 1 species